GUCUGCACUGGCCUCGAUCUGUGGAAAGGGCUGCUGGAGUUCGUUGGCUGUUUGCAUAAUUUCCUCUGCCUUCUCGGGUCACAUACAAGGAUGCCACAUGAGGAAGAUGUAGAACCCUCAGCUCUGCCUGCACCAUGCCUGCCUGGAUGCUGCCAUGCUCCUGUCUUGAUGAUAAUGGACUGAACCUCUGAACCUGAACCUCAGCAGCCCAGCCGGUAAUACAAGAGGACAGAGUGGAGCUCUGACAGGACAGUGGCAACUUGAAUGCAGGUGAAGAGCUGCCGGGGACAGUUCUCGGGAAGCAGAGGUAUGGAGGAAAAACCAUAGAGACGUUACAGGCAAGGCUUUGAAGAGCUGAAGAUGAAAGCCGUGGCUUGGUGACUGGAAGAGUUCCAGAGAGCUGCCAAGCUCUGAGAAGAGGUGCAUCCAACCCUUUGACAUCCAGACUUCACGCCUGAGAACUAUGCAGUGGAGUUUAAAAUAAAAUUGCAAAACUAUUUUUGAGCUCAACAGUUCAGAGCAUUGCCUGCUCUUCUAGAGAGCCUGGGUUCUAUUGCCAGCAACGACAUGCGGUUCAUAAUUGUCUACUCUAAGUCCUGCGCGUGAUACGAUGCCUUCUUUCGGCCUCCGCUUGUACACGGUGCACAGACAGACUUGCUGGCAGAACACUGAUACGCAUAAAAAAAAAUUCGAGUUAAGAGAUGGUUGUAAACUACCAUAUGGGUACUGAGAGCGAAACUUGUGUUCUUAAGCUCUUAGUCCCCUCAACUAGUUCUUAUUAAGAUUUUCGAAACUUUGAACUGGAAGUAUCAAAAAUCUUGACUAUCUUUUCAAGCAAACCACUCUUGGGGUCCCCCUGGUCACUCCACGAAGGUUCCGUCCCGUCCACCCCACGCUGGCCCACGUGAUCGCGCUCUCCCGCGCGUGAAGACCGCAGUCACCGGCAGACAGAAUCACAGUGACUUUCACGUCUGGGGCCAACGCUAAAUUGCGAGCCGCUGCAGUGAGGAUGGCCAUUGAGAUUAAAGCCGCUCAUCACACGACUCUGCAUUGUGCGGGCAGUCAUUCUUGUGUGUGUUGGCGGCCCCUGGUUGUCGGCGAGCUCCUCGCGUAAUUUUGGAACCCUUCGUUCUUUUGCCCCGUCAGUGGACCGGUCUAAAAUGCAAGACCUUACGGGGGAGCGAAGCCAGUCAUGUCAGUCAAGCAGUCUGUCUGAUUAAAAGCAAAGCUUACAAAGAAUCAUGUGUGGAGCUUUCAGUUGUCUUGGCAUUAUUUUAUGGUCACAUAUUUUGUCUUCAUACAGUUACGCGUGUUAAUCAUUUGAGAAUCCACUUGAUGCUCCCCAGAUAGUACAGUCCUUCCCCGUAGCGCCCGCUGGGAGAGGCAAAGGAACUUCUACCAUCUUGGACGCAACUAUUUCUUAGCUAGAAUGGGGGAGCCACAUAUCCUUGUGAAUUUAUUUGCUACCUUAAAAAACCUUUUGGGCUAUAAAUAAACUUGCAUAUCUUGAAACU
rnacentral:lncRNA from 1 species